AACGAACGCUGGCGGCAGGCUUAACACAUGCAAGUCGAACGCCCCGCAAGGGGAGUGGCAGACGGGUGAGUAACGCGUGGGAAUCUACCCAGUUCUACGGAACAACUGAGGGAAACUUCAGCUAAUACCGUAUACGCCCCACGGGGGAAAGAUUUAUCGGAAUUGGAUGAGCCCGCGUUGGAUUAGCUAGUUGGUGGGGUAACGGCCCACCAAGGCGACAAUCCAUAGCUGGUCUGAGAGGAUGAUCAGCCACACUGGGACUGAGACACGGCCCAGACUCCUACGGGAGGCAGCAGUGGGGAAUAUUGGACAAUGGGCGCAAGCCUGAUCCAGCCAUGCCGCGUGAGUGAUGAAGGCCUUAGGGUUGUAAAGCUCUUUCAGUGGGGACGAUAAUGACGGUACCCACAGAAGAAGCCCCGGCUAACUUCGUGCCAGCCGCCGCCGUAAAAC
rnacentral:rRNA from 1 species